CUUCAAAAGGACUACCAUCUGAGAAGAAUAAAUAUAAAAAAAUACUGCUGGGUUACUUUUACAGGUAAACUGAGACCUUUGAAUGUUUAAUUACACAUUUAUUAGUCUAUCACAGAAAAAAACAGUUAAAGGCAACAGUUCAUUCUGGGUAAGGCGUGCCCCUGGAGGGUCGGGAGAGGGGGCGAGGUGCAACAAGGGGAUGAAAACGUGAGGGCGGUAACAUAGGGGCAAUAACUGGAAGACAGGUUCAAGGCAGUCUGCGCAAACAGUUAGCAGUUGUUGGGACAGUUGUUGACCUUUGUUGGGACUGUUGCCGGCAGGUGUUGGGACAGGUGUUGGGACAGGUGUUGGGGCAGGUGUUGGGGCAGGUGUUGGGGCAGGUGUUGGGACUGUUGCCGGCAGGUGCUGGGACUGUUGCUGGCAGGUGUUGGGACAGGUGUUGGGGCAGGUGUUGGGACUGUUGCCGGCAGGUGCUGGGACAGGUGUUGGGGCAGGUGUUGGGACUGUUGCUGGCAGGUGUUGGGGCAGGUGUUGGGACUGUUGCUGGCCGGUGUUGGGACAAGUGUUGGGACUGUUGUCAGGACACGUGUUGGGACAGGUGUCAGGAUUGUUGUCGGUUGGUGUUGGGACAGGCGUUGGGUGAGAUGUCGGCAGCCGUUGGGACUGUUGCUGGCAGGUGUUGGGACAGGUGUUGGGUGAGAUGUCGGCAGCCAUUGGGACUGUUGCUGGCAGGUGUUGGGACAGGUGUUGGGGCAGGUGUUGGGACUGUUGCUGGCCAGUGUUGGGACUGUUGUCAGGACAGGUGUUGGGACAGGAGUUGGGACUGUUGUCGGCUGGUGUUGGGACAGGUGUUUGGACUGUUGUUGGCAGGUGUUGGGACUGUCUCCGGCAGGUGUUGGGGCUGUUGUCAGGACAGGUGUUGGGACUGUUGCCGGCAGGUGUUGGGGCUGUUGCCGGCAGGGGUUGGGGCUGUUGCCGGCAGGGGUUGGGGCUGUUGCCGGCAGGGGUUGGGACUGUGGCCGGCACGUGUUGGCAGUAGGGGGCCAGUUAAUAGCAGGUAAAUCUAAGUAGGAUAAAACAGGUGUAAAAG